UGGGGAAUAUUGGACAAUGGGCGAAAGCCUGAUCCAGCAAUACCGCGUGUGUGAAGAAGGCCUGAGGGUUGUAAAGCACUUUCGUUUGGGAGGAAGAGAUUCGUUUUAAUAGAGCGAAUUGAAGACGUUACCAAAAUAAGAAGCACCGGCUAACUCUGUGCCAGCAGCCGCGGUAAUACAGAGGGUGCGAGCGUUAAUCGGAAUUACUGGGCGUAAAGGGUGCGUAGGUUGUUCUGUAAGUCAGAUGUGAAAACCCGGGGCUUAACUCCGGAAGGUCGUUUGAUACUGCAGAGCUAGAGUUUUGAAGGGGACAGUGGAAUUUCCGGUGUAGCGGUGAAAUGCGUAGAUAUCGGAAGGAACACCAGAGGCGAAGGCGACUGUCUGGUCAAAAACUGACACU
rnacentral:rRNA from 1 species